rnacentral:rRNA from 1 species
GACAGAGGCCUCAAGCGUUGUUCGGAAUUACUGGGCGUAAAGGGCGCGUAGGCGGCCUGUUAAGUCGAACGUGAAAUCCCCGGGCUCAACCCGGGAACUGCGUCCGAUACUGGCAGGCUUGAAUCCGGGAGAGGGAUGCGGAAUUCCAGGUGUAGCGGUGAAAUGCGUAGAUAUCUGGAGGAACACCGGUGGCGAAGGCGGCAUCCUGGACCGGUAUUGACGCUGAGGCGCGAAAGCCAGGGGAGCAAACGGG